rnacentral:rRNA from 1 species
GACGAACGCUGGCGGCGUGCCUAAUACAUGCAAGUAGAACGCUGAAGGAGGAGCUUGCUUCCCUGGAUGAGUUGCGAACGGGUGAGUAACGCGUAGGUAACCUGCCUGGUAGCGGGGGAUAACUAUUGGAAACGAUAGCUAAUACCGCAUAAUAGUAGAUGUUGCAUGACAUUUGCUUAAAAGGUGCAAUUGCAUCACUACCAGAUGGACCUGCGUUGUAUUAGCUAGUUGGUGGGGUAACGGCUCACCAAGGCGACGAUACAUAGCCGACCUGAGAGGGUGAUCGGCCACACUGGGACUGAGACACGGCCCAGACUCCUACGGGAGGCAGCAGUAGGGAAUCUUCGGCAAUGGACGGAAGUCUGACCGAGCAACGCCGCGUGAGUGAAGAAGGUUUUCGGAUCGUAAAGCUCUGUUGUAAGAGAAGAACGAGUGUGAGAGUGGAAAGUUCACACUGUGACGGUAUCUUACCAGAAAGGGACGGCUAACUACGUG